AAGAGUAAAGCUACCUAGACCACUAAAAUUGCUUACUAAAAUCUCUUUAAUUCAUUCUUUGGUUUCAAAGGAGAGUAAAUGCAGCAGCAGGAGGGGAUGCCCUGCAAGAAAACAUGUAGAGAGGAGCUUGGAGGAUCCUAGCAUGUUAGUUGUGGCUUAUGAAGAGGAACACAAUCACUCCAAAAUUGCAUUUCAAUCUCCCAGCAUGAUGCUUCAUAUUUAACAACCAAAUCAAACCAAAGGACAACAGUAUUUUCCAAGCUGGAACUGGUCGUGCACCUGCAAAAUUUUCUAAUAGGCGCGGUGCGUGGGAAAGAACCAACGCAGUUGUUCAGCUGGAACUUCUGCAAACGAGAAGGGCGAGAAAAUCCAUUGAAAAACAACACCAAUGUAGAAAUUAAAGUUCAAAGAUGAUCCAAAAAGCGCAGAUAAAAAAAAAACAGCAACCAAAUUUAAAAAUGGAUCAACACAAGCUCACGAAAACCACAGACGAAGCUAUUCGAAUGAAAAGCUCCAAGAGAAGCAACCAAGAACCCACCACUCUAAACUACAGAAACAGGGGAAAGGCAGAGAAAGAUAAGAAAAAGAAGCGAAGGCAAUACAAAAACAAAUGAAAGGGCUGGAAAGAAGUAAGGGGACAACUAGAUCCAAAAUGGAUGAAGCUGGCGGCUUAUCACCAAAAUAGUAAGACCUUAAUAUAUGGAUGGAUGUGAAUUAUUUCUUGUAUGCGAUGUUACUUCUAUUACUUUAUUUUAGACUUCUUCCUCAACAUUUAGGAAUUCAAUUUUCAUGAAGCUAUGUAUAUUGACAACUGAGGUGAAAUUCAAUAUUCCACCUAAUGCUCAGAAA